rnacentral:lncRNA from 1 species
CGGAAGGGGAUGGGAAGACUAGGCAAGACUAGGGUACGCAAGGAACUCUGACUGAGAACGGCGGUGGAUUCCCGCUGGGCCUUACAUUGUCAACGAAAUUCCAACCGCCAUUCAUCCGAUGUUUCGUUAGCCUUCCUCCUGAAUGGACACGAUUCGUCAACCCGCCAGUACAACAUCACCACCAUCACCAUCCCCCCUUCAGCAUUGCGGUCGAUACGCGACCCAACAUGUACGGUGCAGUCCGCAGGUUGCACACCAUCCACGUGUUUGCACGAACGUGUACGACACUUAAUCACAUAGAUUCAUGCACAUGCAAGGCGGUUGCCACGCAUGCACCAUCGUCCACACACAGAGACACACACACAGUAAUCAUUAGAGGACUAGGGGGGGAGGUCCUAUAUGCCGCAAAAAGGGCGGGGAGGAGGGCCUUAUGCAAGAUCUAAGUAACUGUAUGCCCUCCUCCUCUUUACCCUCACGUCACCACCUCCCUCCGAUGCGGAACCUCCCCUACCUCCCCCACCUACCUCUGUCGCCCCUAUCUCCCCUCUCCCACCCACAUACCUCCUCCCCCCCGGGCAUAGUCAGCGUCACCCGUCCAAACCCGCCGUACGGAAGACCUGCCCGGCUGCCUCCUUGCGACUGAUCCACCCGCCCAAGCGGCGCACCAGCGCCUCCACAUCCGCAUCCACAUCCGCAUCUACAUGAGGCGGCGGUGGCUGCAAGCCCCUGUGGUCCUCCCGCCCGUCAGCUGCUGGCGGGCCCCCCCCACCCGGCCCCG